GUGCUGGAGGCCCACAUCUGACAAGGCUUCUAAGCCAUGACACCUUUUGCCCAACUGUUACCAGAUAGAAGGUGAAUGAGAUGAAAAAAGAGACUGUGUACUUCAUAUUAGAUUAAUGGAAUUGAGGUGAAUUAAGCCCAGGAAAGGAAGAAGGCAGGCCAGGCAACUCAACCGGCAUUUCUUGGCUCUUCCUGCCUGCCUGUGGAAGAUGACUGGGAAUGCAGACUGUGGGAGGAAAUGACAAUGUUCAUUGUUUGGAUUAAAUAUUUUUCUUGGCCUUC